rnacentral:rRNA from 1 species
AGUAAGCGGAGGAAAAGAAACUAACUAGGAUUCCCUCAGUAGCGGCGAGCGAACAGGGAAGAGCCCAGCACCGAACCUCGCGCUUGUUGACGGGUGCAGAGGAAUGUGGUGUUAGGGAGGACCGUGCGCGUCUGUCCGGUAUUUAUCGUCCAAGUCUCCAUGAACGGGGCGAUCAACCCAAAGAGGGUGUCAGGCCCGUAGGCUGACGAGCCGCGACCGUGUAUCGGGUCCCUUCCCAAGAGUCGGGUUGCUUGAGCGUGCAGCCCUAAGCGGGAGGUAAACUCCUUCUAAGGCUAAAUAUCGCCACGAGACCGAUAGCGAACAAGUACCGCGAGGGAAAGUUGAAAAGAACUUUGAAGAGAGAGUUCAAUAGUGCGUGAAACCGUUCAGGGGGUUAAACGGGUGAGCCCUCGAAGGUCGAACAGUGUCCCCGCUCCCGUUGUGCAGUCGUCUGGCCUGUGUUUCGCCGAUCUCUUUACGGGGACGGUGGCUCGCGGUGCUUAUAGGCGGCUGCCGGCUGCAAGUGGGGGACCUAGUAGGACUCCGCGACCGACUGGGUGUGCUGUUAUAAGGGACUUGGAUUUCUCGGUGUCGAGAGUUGCGGCUUGCCGUUUCUUUCUUCACCGCGUGCCGAGUUUCCGAGCAGUCCUGCCCGGUCGUGACCUGUCAGUCUGCCCGUGCUCCUUUAUUGAAGCAACGUCGGUGGACCCAGAGCGGAGAGUAGAAGUCGGGUCUCACCCGACCCGUCUUGAAACACGGACCAAGGAGUCUAACAUGUGCGCGAGUCGUCGAGUCACAAUCGAAACUCGUGAGGCGCAAUGAAAGUGAAACAGCCCUGAUGAAGGUGUUCUGUGAGGGAAGAUCUCGUCUUUUUUUCAAACCGAAGCGAGCGCAUUCCCGGGGCGUUCGAAGCCGCGACUUAGUCGGCCGGACGAACCCAGAGCGUACACGUUGGGACCCGAAAGAUGGUGACCUAUGCCUGGCCAGGACGAAGCCAGGGGAAACCCUGGUGGAGGUCCGCAGCGAUUCUGACGUGCAAAUCGAUCGUCGGAGUUGGGUAUAGGGGCGAAAGACUAAUCGAACCAUCUAGUAGC